AACGAACGCUGGCGGCAUGCCUAACACAUGCAAGUCGAACGCGUGGCUACGGCCACGAGUGGCGCACGGGUGAGUAACGCGUGGGAACCUGCCCGGCAGUACGGGACAACCGCGGGAAACUGCGGCUAAUACCGUAUGAGCCCUGAGGGGGAAAGAUUUAUCGCUGUCGGAGGGGCCCGCGUCGGAUUAGGUAGUUGGUGGGGUAACGGCCUACCAAGCCUGCGAUCCGUAGCUGGUCUGAGAGGAUGAUCAGCCACACUGGGACUGAGACACGGCCCAGACUCCUACGGGAGGCAGCAGUGGGGAAUAUUGGACAAUGGGGGAAACCCUGAUCCAGCAAUGCCGCGUGAGUGAUGAAGGCCUUAGGGUUGUAAAGCUCUUUCGCACGCGACGAUGAUGACGGUAGCGUGAGAAGAAGCCCCGGCUAACUCCGUGCCAGCAGCCGCAGUAAAAC
rnacentral:rRNA from 1 species